GGCCAGGUAGCUCAGAUGGUAGAGCAGCGGACUGAAAAUCCGCGUGUCGGCGGUUCAAUUCCGUCCCUGGCCACCA
rnacentral:tRNA from 1 species